rnacentral:rRNA from 1 species
AUUGAACGCUGGCGGCAGGCCUAACACAUGCAGGUCGAGCGGGGUUUUCGGACCUAGCGGCGGACGGGUGAGUAAUGCGUAGGAAGCUGCCCGAUAGAGGGGGAUACCAGCUGGAAACGACUGUUAAUACCGCAUAAUGUCUACGGACCAAAGUGUGGGACCGUCGGGCCACAUGCUAUCGGAUGCGCCUACGUGGGAUUAGCUAGUUGGUGAGGUAAUGGCGCACCAAGGCGACGAUCUCUAGCUGGUUUGAGAGGAUGAUCAGCCACACUGGAACUGAGACACGGUCCAGACUCCUACGGGAGGCAGCAGUGGGGAAUUUUGGACAAUGGGGGCAACCCUGAUCCAGCAACGCCGCGUGAAUGAAGAAGGCCUUCGGGUUGUAAAGUUCUUUUGUCUAGGGGUAAGUAUAAUUGUUUAAGAGAUAAUUAUAUUGAGAGUACUAGAAGAAUAAGCACCGGCUAACUACGUGCCAGCCGCCGCUGUAAAAC